UCCCUGGAGGACUAGUGGUUAGGUUUCGGUGCUCUCGCUGUCGUAGCCCGGGUUCGAUUCUCGGUCAGGGAA